ACACGGUGGAUGCCCUGGCAGUCAGAGGCGAUGAAGGGCGUGCUAAUCUGCGAUAAGCGCCGGUAAGGUGAUAUGAACCGUUAUAACCGGCGAUACCCGAAUGGGGAAACCCAGUGUGAUUCGUCACACUAUCAUUAACUGAAUCCAUAGGUUAAUGAGGCGAACCGGGGGAACUGAAACAUCUAAGUACCCCGAGGAAAAGAAAUCAACCGAGAUUCCCCCAGUAGCGGCGAGCGAACGGGGAGGAGCCCAGAGCCUGAAUCAGCAUGUGUGUUAGUGGAAGCGUCUGGAAAGGCGCGCGAUACAGGGUGACAGCCCCGUACACAAAAGCGCAUGUGUUGUGAGCUCGAUGAGUAGGGCGGGACACGUGGUAUCCUGUCUGAAUAUGGGGGGACCAUCCUCCAAGGCUAAAUACUCCUGACUGACCGAUAGUGAACCAGUACCGUGAGGGAAAGGCGAAAAGAACCCCGGCGAGGGGAGUGAAAAAGAACCUGAAACCGUGUACGUACAAGCAGUGGGAGCACAGGUUUACCUGUGUGACUGCGUACCUUUUGUAUAAUGGGUCAGCGACUUAUAUUCUGUAGCAAGGUUAACCGUAUAGGGGAGCCGGAGGGAAACCGAGUCUUAAUUGGGCGUUAAGUUGCAGGGUAUAGACCCGAAACCCGGUGAUCUAGCCAUGGGCAGGUUGAAGGUUGGGUAACACUAACUGGAGGACCGAACCGACUAAUGUUGAAAAAUUAGCGGAUGACCUGUGGCUGGGGGUGAAAGGCCAAUCAAACCGGGAGAUAGCUGGUUCUCCCCGAAAGCUAUUUAGGUAGCGCCUCGUGAAUUCAUCUCCGGGGGUAGAGCACUGUUUCGGCUAGGGGGCCAUCCCGGCUUACCAACCCGAUGCAAACUGCGAAUACCGGAGAAUGUUAUCACGGGAGACACACGGCGGGUGCUAACGUCCGUCGUGAAGAGGGAAACAACCCAGACCGCCAGCUAAGGUCCCAAAGUCAUGGUUAAGUGGGAAACGAUGUGGGAAGGCCCAGACAGCCAGGAUGUUGGCUUAGAAGCAGCCAUCAUUUAAAGAAAGCGUAAUAGCUCACUGGUCGAGUCGGCCUGCGCGGAAGAUGUAACGGGGCUAAACCAUGCACCGAAGCUGCGGCAGCGACGCUUAUGCGUUGUUGGGUAGGGGAGCGUUCUGUAAGCCUGUGAAGGUGGCCUGUGAGGGUUGCUGGAGGUAUCAGAAGUGCGAAUGCUGACAUAAGUAACGAUAAAGCGGGUGAAAAGCCCGCUCGCCGGAAGACCAAGGGUUCCUGUCCAACGUUAA
rnacentral:rRNA from 1 species